rnacentral:tRNA from 2 species
CGGAAUGUGGCGCAGCCCGGUAGCGCACUUGCAUGGGGUGCAAGGGGUCGCAAGUUCAAAUCUUGUCAUUCCGACCA